GCAGCCCCUCGUCUUCCGGUCCCGGGACGCGCGGCUGCUGACAAAUCACGGAGGCCGGCCUCGCGGUACCGACCCGGGCCGGCUCCGCCGAGCUUCGGGAGCGAGCGGACGGCCCGCCGGGGGUCCGGCCCUGCUCCCAUUCUCCGGAACCUGCAAAAUGGCUACUUCUCGGCAAAUGAAUGGGGCUGGGUGAGGGUGACACGAAUCCAGAAGUUAAGGCCCUAAGUUACUGUUGGUGGCUAGUGGAUGACAAAAGGAUGCUUCUUUUUUUAACUUUAAGACAUUUGGGUGCAAAAUACACACCCCUGAUUUUUUUUCCUAACGGUCCCCAACACCAGGGAUGAGGUCACUGGAAAAUGGGUACGCGUAAAGAAUUUUGUACCAGCUGUUGUCCUGCUCCUGCACUUAACCGGAGGGCACCUCUAUCCCCACUUUAAUCUGUCUGCUCUAACCGGAAAGCACUUAGUAGAGGAAGCGCUGGAGAGCCAGAAUUAUUCUCACCUGGAUCCAAGUUGAAAUAUAGGACAAAGAAGCUGCUUCUAGGCAGCUGACUAGGAGGGUCAAGGAAUAAGUGAUGACAGAAAUGAUGAUGGCACAGCCUCAAGAUUCUAGACGUGGAGAAGAGCUAACUAUGUACUCACCACCCUAUCCUCCGCUGCUGCCUGGUGCCUGGUUCAUUACGUUCAUGCUCAAAAUAUGUGUUGGGUUCAAAUCCCACUUCUGAUACUGUGGCUCCAUUUCCAGGACGUAGGAGACAAAAGCACUGUGGUUUGGCCAAAUAAAGGUCCCCCAAAGAUGUCUACACUCUAGCCCCUGAAGCCUCAGAAUAUGUCAUCUUACGUGGCAAAAAGGGACUUUGCAGGUAUGACUAAAAUUGAGAUGGAGAGAGUAUCCUGGAUUUUCCAGAGGGACCAAGUGGGAUCAAGGAGUCCUUAAAAGUGGAAGGGAAGGGCAGAAGGCUUGCUGGUUUCGAAGAUGAAGGAAAGGGAACAUGAGCCACGGCCUAUGUGUGCCUCUAGAAGUGGAACAGCCUUCAGCUAACAGCCAGCAAGAAAAUGGAAACAUCAGUCUUAAAAUCGUGAGGAACAGAAUUCUGCCAACAACCUAAAUGAGCAAGGAAAUAAUUCUCCCCUGUCUCUAAAAAGGAGCCACGGCCCAGCUCAGACUGUGAUUAUACCUCAAUGAGACCCCUAGUAGACUCCCACCACCGCUCCCCAGCCAGCUCACCACCUAAGCUAACCCUAGCCUAACCAAAUGUCACAGAAUUACCUCUUCCCAUAUUAUAUGCUGUUGAAGAAGCUGCAUGGUCUGAGUAUCCUUUAGACAAUGACAUCAUAGUGGCAUUCUUCUAUGAUUCACUAGAUGAAAGUAUUCUAUAGCAGUGGAAUACAAUAAACAUCACAAACGUGUAUUUUGAGUCUCCACUCAGCCACAACUAUAUACAUGUAUACAUAGUCGUGGCUACCAAGAAUGUCCUUCCUCUACUCGAUUUCACUUAACAAAAGUCCAAUCGAUCCUUCAUGGCAAAUUUCCAAUAAUAUGUCCUGAAUAAAUCCUUACUGGCUAUCCCUAAUCCAAAGAUGUCUUUUCUGUCCCACAGUAUCCAAAACAAUUCAGUGUCUUUAUUAUAGAAUUCAUAAUAUACCAUCUCCUAUGAGAAUAAAAUUAUUAGCACAUGUUCAGCAUAUAUGGUGGCUCUCGAUACUUGGAGCGAAUGAAUGUAUGUAUCUCUCCAUGAUGUGAGCUUCUGAACUCGGAGAAAUUUCCUGUUUAUAUUACUCACAGAGCCUUGCGCAAGAUCCUGCUCAAAGAAGUUUCAGGUGUACAAUAUGAUGAUUUAACAAUUCUGUGCAUUUCUCAGUGUUCAUCAAGUUCUAGAGACUGGAAGUUCAAGUUCAAGGCACCAGCAUAGUCAUCUUCUGGUGAGGCUCUCUUCCAGGUUCAUAGCCAGCACCUUCUGGCUGUGUGCUCACAUGGGGGAAGGAGUGAGGGAGCUCUCUGAUGCCUUUUUAAAAAGAAUCCUAAUUCUCUUCAUGAAGGCUAUACAUCACAACCUAAGCACUUCUCAAAGGCCCCACUCCUGAUACCAUCACCUUGAACAUCUGGAAUUCAACAUAUAAAUUUGGUGGCAGACACAAAGAUUCCUAUAUUUUUGAAGGACAAAAUGUGGUCAGCUCAAGAGGCAGUUCCAAGGGGGCAGGACUCAACUAGACCAUAUAUGAAUACAAAUCCUGUUUGAAGAUUUUUCUCUGGCUGGUGCUUCGGGGAGAGAGGUGACUGAAAAAGUGUUUUCACUCCAAUCUGAGAAGCUAGCUGUUGACAAGAGUGAGCAAUUCAAGUCUUCUUUUUUCAGCAAAGUCUAUUCCAACUGUGUGGCUGAUCACAAAGGCACUUCCUAAUAAAUGUUCUGAACAUGAAACUCCAUUUCUGCUAAAAAGAAAAAGAAAAAA